rnacentral:lncRNA from 1 species
UGAAGAGUCCUUGUCCUCAAGGAAAUUUAAAACCUAAAAGGAAAAUACGAUGAAUGAAAAUUGCUAUAGCACAAAGCAAAGGUGUUUCAGUAGAGGUAUAAAGUGCUGUAGAAGCCAAGAAAAUGUACAGUUUGCUGAUGAUUGAGAGGUUCUAGGUUUUAUGAAGGACACAUUUUAAGAAUGGGUAGGAUUUGUAUCUCUAAUACGUGGAGAGAAAAUGGCAACCAUAGAGACAGGAAAGUUCAGGAAAUAUUUAGCGAUAGGUGAGUGGUUGAAAGAUAUCUUAGGAGAGAUAAAAUGGAAAAGAAAGCAAAUGCCAAAUCAUAGGGUAUUUGAAGCUGUUUUAGCAAUUUUAUUUUCACUCUGUGAGUCCUAGAGAGCCACUGAAGGUUAUUGAAGUGAAGGCUGACACAUUUACUAUAAGCUUUAGAAAGUUCUUUGACAAUAAUUGGAGGAUGUUUAGAGGAGAUGAGACUAGAGUUGGAGAAUAUAGUAAGGAAGCCAUUACAUGAUCUAGGACCUGGACUAGGUGAUGAAAAUGGGAUACAUACGAAGAAUGUUUAAGACGUGGAAUCCACAUGAUUUGGCAACUGAUUAAAUGCUUACAUAUCUGCUCAGGGGAAGGGGAGGCAUGUGGUAAAAAGAAAAGGUUUAAGUUAUAAUUUUGUAAAUGACAGAGCCCAGCUUGAUUCAUCUAAAAAGUAAAAAAGAGAAAUUUAUUUGCAAAAUUAGGCUAAUAACAUAACUUUGGGAAAGGCAGAGAUAGAGCCAGGUAGGGACAACUGAAUCAGGGCCUCAGAUGUCAUUCUUCCUCCGUAUGUUCUCUUUGAAGGUAGCCUUUAUUCUUUUCUACUGCAGAGAAGUUCUCUCCAUGCUUCAGGAUCAUCGCCACAGCCAGUCCUUCUAGCUGAGGGACUAAAGAAGACUGGGAUCUUCCCCUGGGCCAGUCGAACUUUUCCAGAGAUGGACCCUGGUAGAAGGGCUUGGGUCACAUAUCCACCCCUUAGACCAGUCACUGGACCUGAUGGAUGAGAAACUGAUGCACAAGGAAGUUAAGAAAGUGAACCAGGUAUCAGGAAAAAGCCCCAGUGUCAUAGAGAAUGGCAAAGAGGAACAAGACUGCAAAGGACAUGACCAAGCCAGCAGCCAGGUUGAUGUGCCUUCCCUUCACAGGUGCGAAAGAGAGUGAGAUGAAGGGACCAGAGCAGGGCAGUCUCUUACUCACAGCACAGCAAGAAUGGGAACAUCAGCAUGGUAACUCUGGUGCCCGUGCUCCAAAGUCUCAUGGGGCAGUCAUGAGCCCAGAUGGCAGCUGCUCACACAGUGGAUUGUGCCCCAUGUGAGGAACCUAGGGUCAAAGUCUCAACACCUUUU